rnacentral:rRNA from 1 species
ACGCUCGACACCUACGGAAGGCAGCAGUGGGGAAUAUUGCACAAUGGGGGAAACCCUGAUGCAGCGACGCCGCGUGAGUGAAGAAGUAUUUCGGUAUGUAAAGCUCUAUCAGCAGGGAAGAAAAUGACGGUACCUGACUAAGAAGCCCCGGCUAACUACGUGCUAGCAGCCGCGGUAAUCUGAGCGGGCUGGCAAGGC